AUAAUUCAAUCCCUCUAUCAUGAGUUCCGACUAGAUGGCAGGUCAUGGAUAAAUCGUCAAACCUCAUUAUCAGUCAUAUGAUAUAUUCGAUUAGCUCAAGUCCAAUUGUGAUUGUCAUAAAAAAAAUUUUCUAUUAAUUACACUGCUAUGGCCACAGACUCUCGAACUUAGCCUCUUAAAUCUCAUAGAAUUGCUUCUCUCCAUCAAGAUCGAUAGAUUCCUUCU
rnacentral:lncRNA from 1 species